UUGAAAGGGAAACGAUUGAAGUCAGUCGUACCGACGAGAAAUCAACCUAUCGUGUGCGAACUUGUGGGCGUGCGUGAGUUUCGGCCUCGCUGUUUGCAUGUUUGUGCGUUUUGAGUGUACUUUUUCGUAUGGUAGGCCAACGUCAGUUUCGAUUAUCAUAAAAUGACCGGCGGAAUGUAGCUUUCGAUCUCGGUUGAAGUGUUAUAGCCUCUGGUAGAUGUGGUGAUUGAGACUGAGGAUUGCAACGAAUACCCUUUGGGCUAUCCGUCUGGCCUCUGAAAGUUGCUCAGGUGCCGAAAGCGUGCUUACGGUUAUCUAAGAUAACGUUCACAGGUUAGAACGUGAUUACAUUUCGUUAAGGAUGUUGACGUA
rnacentral:rRNA from 1 species